ACAGAGGGUGCAAGCGUUGUUCGGAAUUAUUGGGCGUAAAGGGCGCGUAGGCGGUGCGGUAAGUCUGUAGUGAAAUCUCUGGGCUCAACUCAGAGUCUGCUGCAGAAACUGCCGUGCUUGAGUGUGGGAGAGGUGAGUGGAAUUCCAGGUGUAGCGGUGAAAUGCGUAGAUAUCUGGAGGAACACCGGUGGCGAAGGCGGCAUCCUGGACCGAUACUGACGCUGAGGAGCGAAAGCCAGGGGAGCAAACGGGA
rnacentral:rRNA from 1 species